AGCUUGUGAAGCAUCAAUGUCAUUAUGAUUUUUAUUUCUCUCGUGGGAAACAAUAUUAAAUGUGUUUUUGUUGUUCAGCAAAAUGUCUUAUAAAGAAAUAAAAAAGACAAGAUCCGUGGAGUUUAGUGCCAAAAUUCUGAAGGUACUUCCUGCCUAGCCGCGUCAGUGUAUUUCUUGUGAAAAUGAUUUGAUAACAUUGGUAUUUUAUUAUAAGUGUUUUGUAUGGAUCCCUCAUAUUUAAAGUAUAGAUUUAAAAAGAGUUUGUUAACUUGCUAUUCUGUGGUCUUGUUGCCUGAAAAUGUCAUGUUUGCUUUUUUUCUUUGUAAAAAAUGUAAAGAAGUGCCCAUGUGUCACAUAUAUACAGUAUAUAUAUCUAUACACAGUUGGACACACAUGCAUACACUCUCUCUGUGCAGACCUCACAUUUUACUUAUUUGUUGCACGAAAGCCCCUGAGUUUUGCCUUCUCCAUAGCCACCGCUCUGCCCCCAAACCCACUUUAAGUCCCACACCAAAUGUCUGAUGUUUUCUUUAUCAAAAGCCUUACCAUACAAAUCUUUGCACUCCUAGCUCUUUCUAUCAGUAUCUCAGUCAUACGCAGUUGAAUAUAUUGUUUUGAUUGUUUUCUUAGCAGCACCGUCUCCGACUUUUCAUUUCAAAGAGGAGGUGAUAGUCAUACACAAAGCCUUAUUUCUUCAAAUCUUCUUAACCAUUUUGUGCAGUUCAGAGAUCAUUAUUUUCAUGUAUCAUCGCUUGGCUUUUUAUGAUGUAAGCACAGAGCAAGACAUUCACAAACUAGCCUUUUCUCUUUUGAGGAAAAAAGCACAUCUUUUUUCAGAGAUGCGAGUUUGUAGUUAAUAUACAGAUUCAGGACUUUUUUUUCAUAAUCAUAAAGUCUUGUGGGCCAAAACGUUUUAGAUGCCAAAGCGUGUUACUGUUACUGACAUUCUCACGGUCAAGUCGUUUACAUGGCACAGUGUUGUCAAAGUUUCUUGUUUUUCCCCCUACUCCCUGAGAGCCUAUAGUUUAGUAGUCUGCAAAAAAAGAUGGCAGCAUUAUUUUCUACACAAAAUCUCACCAGUCGCCUUAAACCAGGGAGCGUCGCACCAGUAUUUUGGAAGACUAUUUUGUCAGAUUUGUGCCAAGUCCAGGGUCACCUUUUGUAUACUGUUUACUUCUCACUUUGUCCGCCAUUUUGUGAGUAGAUUGGCCGAGUUGCAUAGAGUCUUGUGAUGGUCGAAAUUUAAGCUCCGGUGUGAAGGAUGCCCACUAGCUGUCUCUCAGGCUAACCGGGGUUAUUAGAAGCAGGGAUAUGUGGAGGGGGUUGUCUUAUUGGAAUAGCGACAGGGGAAAUAAAGAGCUGUUGGUCGGGAGUUGGAAGGGUCACAGGCAAGCAAAACAACAGGCGAGAUGAAGGCGUUUUCAUUAACUACUCAAAGACCAAACCCAAACUUCAGAUAGAAGAACAGAGAAGAGAGACUUCAGCUGUUUUGUUAUGUUUUCUUCUUAAAUGCAGUAUAUAGCAUGAGCAGUGCCACAGCCAUAUGAUAAUAGCUGGAUAGUCCUAUUAAUGUCAAGGGACCAUUUUGCUAACCAGCACAUGCAGGUUUUGAACAUUGUAAAUCCGCUGCAGAUCGACUCAAUUGCACAUUUUGUCACUCUUGCACAAUCCGUAACACAUGAUCAUUGUUAGUUUUGGAAGAUAUGAAGCACUAUUUUGUAUACUGUCAAAACCAGUCCCAAACUAUUUUGUCAAAAUUGCCAAAUUUUCACCUCGUCGCAUGGUGUAGUCAGUGUGUUAAAGCAUGUGUUUGCGUUUAAAUGUUAAAGCACAAGAGGGCGAUAGCGAAUUCUAUGGAGCGGCUCACUUCAGGGGCUUUCGGUGCUUAUGCUUGUUGUAUCUUUCUAUCUAAGUCACUGUUCACUUC
ensembl:lncRNA